AACAAUGUCCUUUGGUGAGAAGGUAAAACUGGUAUAUGAAAACUGUGAAGUUCUUAAGAAGAAAGUUGGAAGGCUGGAGGGCUAUUUAGGGAUCGAAAGAGUUUCUGCCAGUUAUACUAGAGAAGUACAAAAAGAAGAGGACGAAAAAAAGGAGGAGGAAGAAGAAAAGCAAGAGGAAGAAGAAAAAGAAGAGGAAGAAGAAAAGGUAUGUGUUUUUACAAGGGAUUUUAAAAGCUUAUAAAUCGUGUUUUAAAGAUUUUUAGCCGUUUUUAAAAGAUAGACAGUAUUAGAUACAUAUUUACAAGGGAUUUUAAAGACUUUA
rnacentral:sRNA from 1 species